rnacentral:rRNA from 1 species
CACGUAGGGGACGAGCGUUGUCCGGAUUCAUUGGGCGUAAAGCGCGCGUAGGCGGCUCGGAAAGUCGGUCGUGAAAUGCCGGGGCUCAACCCCGGGACUGCGUCCGAUACUCCCGAGCUGGAGGUAGGUAGGGGAGAUCGGAAUUCCUGGUGUAGCGGUGAAAUGCGCAGAUAUCAGGAGGAACACCGGUGGCGAAGGCGGAUCUCUGGGCCUUACCUGACGCUCAGGUGCGAAAGCUAGGGGAGCGAACAGG